rnacentral:rRNA from 1 species
ACGAACGCUGGCGGCGUGCUUAACACAUGCAAGUCGAACGGUGAAGCGCCUUCCUUUUUGGUGGGUGUGGAUGAGUGGCGAACGGGUGAGUAACACGUGAGUAACCUGCCCCCUUCUUCUGGAUAACCGCAUGAAAGUGUGGCUAAUACGGGAUAUUCUGGGUCUGUCGCAUGAUGGGUCUGGGAAAGAUAUUGUUUCGGUGGGGGAUGGGCUCGCGGCCUAUCAGCUUGUUGGUGGGGUGAUGGCCUACCAAGGCGGUGACGGGUAGCCGGCCUGAGAGGCGGGGCGGACACACGGGGACUAAGACGCGCCUGAGACUCCGACGGGAGGCAGCAGUGGGGGAUAUUGGACGGGGGGAGUAGGGUUGAUGCAGCGCGGCCGCGUGGGAGAUGGCGGCCUUCGUGUUGGGAUCGUCUUUCGUGAGAGGAGCAGGCCGGCCUCGUUUGUGGGUGGCUUGACGGUAGCGGAAUAAAAAGAGCGGGCUAGCUACGUG